rnacentral:rRNA from 1 species
GACGAACGCUGGCGGCGUGCUUAACACAUGCAAGUCGAACGGAAAGGCCCUGCUUUUGUGGGGUGCUCGAGUGGCGAACGGGUGAGUAACACGUGAGUAACCUGCCCUUGACUUUGGGAUAACUUCAGGAAACUGGGGCUAAUACCGGAUAGGAGCUCCUGCUGCAUGGUGGGGGUUGGAAAGUUUCGGCGGUUGGGGAUGGACUCGCGGCUUAUCAGCUUGUUGGUGGGGUAGUGGCUUACCAAGGCUUUGACGGGUAGCCGGCCUGCGAGGGUGACCGGCCACAUUGGGACUGAGGUACGGCCCAGACUCCUACGGGAGGCAGCAGUGGGGAAUAUUACACAAUGGGCGGAAGCCUGAUGCAGCAACGCCGCGUGCGGGAUGACGGCCUUCGGGUUGUAAACCGCUUUCGCCUGUGACGAAGCGUGAGUGACGGUAAUGGGUAAAGAAGCACCGGCUAACUACGUG